rnacentral:sRNA from 2 species
AACAAUUCCUCCACAUAACCUCUAACAUUCUUCCACUCCACACUUCACUGCAGCACAACCCUCAAUAUUCUUCCAUUCCAAUUCUUCUUCUAUAAGAACCCUCUCAUACAACCCCUUCUUCUGAUCUUCUUUCUCUUUCUUUCCUUAAUCAAUUUGUAAACUGUUAUUAGAAUAGUGUCAAGUCCAUUGAUAUUGCCAUUGAAACAGAUCAUAUGAACUGUGCAGAUGGUACAAAUGAUUUAAUCUGCAACAUUGAUAACAUCUGCUUAAUCAGUGACACAUCUGUUACAUUAUGAAUUGAUUCAUCUGUGUUUAAGAUCUGAGUGUCUAGUUAUUAGUUUCUAUGCCUGAGUGUGUUGAUUACAUUUUAAGGUCUGAGUGCCUCAUUAUCAGUUUCUACACCUGAGUGUGUUGAUUACAUUAAAAGGUCUGAGUGUCUAAUCAUUAUAUAAGUUCCUUGUUGGGUCCAAGUGCCCUUAUUAUUAGAUACAUAG